UACGUAGGUGGCAAGCGUUGUCCGGAAUUAUUGGGCGUAAAGCGCGCGCAGGCGGUCCUUUAAGUCUGAUGUGAAAGCCCACGGCUCAACCGUGGAGGGUCAUUGGAAACUGGGGGACUUGAGUGCAGGAGAGAAGAGUGGAAUUCCACGUGUAGCGGUGAAAUGCGUAGAGAUGUGGAAGAACACCAAUGGCGAAAGCAGCUCUCUGGGACGGUACUGACGCUGAGACGCGAAAGCGUGGGGAGCGAACAGG
rnacentral:rRNA from 1 species